GAAAUGCGAUAAGUAAUGUGAAUUGCAGAAUUCAGUGAAUCAUCGAAUCUUUGAACGCACAUUGCGCCCCUUGGUAUUCCGAGGGACAUGCCUGUUCGAGCGUCAUUACACCACUCAAGCUAUGCUUGGUAUUGGGUGCCGUCCUUAGUUGGGCGCGCCUUAAAGACCUCGGCGAGGCCUCACCGGCUUUAGGCGUAGUAGAAUUUAUUCGAACGUCUGUCAAAGGAGAGGACUUCUGCCGACUGAAACCUUUUAUUUUUCUAGGUUGACCUCGGAUCAGGUAGGGAUACCCGCUGAACUUAAGC
rnacentral:misc_RNA from 1 species